GGCCCAUAGCUCAGUGGCAAAGCAUCAGCUUUUCAUGCAGAAGGUCCCAGGUUCAUUCCCCGGCACCUCCA